UACGAAGGGGGCUAGCGUUGUUCGGAAUCACUGGGCGUAAAGCGCACGUAGGCGGAUGUGUCAGUCAGGGGUGAAAUCCCGGGGCUCAACCUCGGAACUGCCUUUGAUACAGCACGUCUCGAGUCCGGAAGAGGUGGGUGGAAUUCCUAGUGUAGAGGUGAAAUUCGUAGAUAUUAGGAAGAACACCGGUGGCGAAGGCGGCCCACUGGUCCGGUACUGACGCUGAGGUGCGAAAGCGUGGGGAGCGAACAGGAU
rnacentral:rRNA from 1 species